UACGGAGGGUCCAAGCGUUAUCCGGAAUCAUUGGGUUUAAAGGGUCCGUAGGCGGGCCAGUAAGUCAGUGGUGAAAUCUCCCGGCUCAACCGGGAAAUUGCCAUUGAUACUGCUGGUCUUGAAUUAUUGGGAAGUAACUAGAAUAUGUAGUGUAGCGGUGAAAUGCUUAGAGAUUACAUGGAAUACCAAUUGCGAAGGCAGGUUACUAUCAAUAUAUUGACGCUGAUGGACGAAAGCGUGGGUAGCGAACAGG
rnacentral:rRNA from 1 species